rnacentral:miRNA from 14 species
CGCGUCGGUGUCGUGUUCUGUGGCUGACUGGGCUGGCGCUGGACUGGCGGGCGCCCGCCGGUCUGUCACAGAACACGAGACCGGCCGCAU